rnacentral:rRNA from 1 species
UACGUAGGGGGCGAGCGUUGUCCGGAAUUACUGGGCGUAAAGCGCAUGUAGGCGGCCUAGCAGGUCGGAUGUGAAAUCCCUCGGCUCAACCAAGGAAGUGCAUUCGAAACCGCAAGGCUCGAGUCCCGGAGAGGAUGGUGGAAUUCUCGGUGUAGAGGUGAAAUUCGUAGAUAUCGAGAGGAACACCGGCGGCGAAGGCGGCCAUCUGGACGAGGACUGACGCUGAGAUGCGAAAGCGUGGGGAGCAAACAGG